rnacentral:tRNA from 1 species
CGGGGUAGCUCAGUCGGUAGAGCAACUGAUUCGUAAUCAGUAGGUCGGAGGUUCGAUUCCUCUCCCCGG